GAUGAAGAACGUAGCGAAAUGCGAUAAGUAAUGUGAAUUGCAGAAUUCAGUGAAUCAUCGAAUCUUUGAACGCACCUUGCGCCCUUUGGACUUCUGAAGGGCAAGCCUGUUUGAGUAUCAUGAACACCUCAACUCCUUAUGGUCUUCCAUGAUGAGCUUGGACUUUGGGGGUUUUGCUGGCCUACAGUCAGCUCCUCUAAAAUAAAUCAGCUUACCGGUGUUUGGUGGGUAUCAUGGGUGUGAUAACUAUCUACGCUCGUGGUUUUCCACCAGGUAACCUUCAGCAGUGGAGGUUCACUGGAGCUCAUAGAUGUCUCUCCUCAGCGAGGACAGCCCUUUGAAUGUUUGAUCUCAAAUCAGGUAGGACUACCCGCUGAACUUAAGCAUAUCAAUAAGCGGAGGA
rnacentral:misc_RNA from 1 species